AUGGGAGACACUAGCAGAAGAUUGGUGCUCUGAGGAAGGGAGAAGCUGAGGUGUGAGGCUGACCUGCUGGAUGACAACAGGAUAGAGAAGCAGUCGCCACUCCAGUGAACCCUAUCUUGAGCAGCUCUCUACUUGUUGAAGAGGGUCGUCACAGCGGACCGGAAGAGCUACAGAGCCUCAAGCUAGGGCAGGACUUUCCAUUCCUGGGCUGCCUGGAAUCACUGCAAACCUGCCUCUCUAUGACAUCACAGAUGCAACGAUCCCGGUGGGUCGCUUCCUUGUACCUUGUUACGUUUGUUUAAGGAAUGUCAAAUGCCUGUCACUCCAUAAGACUUUCCUCUCCCUACCCAUUCUGUGAUGUGGAAAAGUUAUUUCUUCUACUAAUCAAAACCUCUGAGUUCACUGACUGCUAGGACAUCCAUCUCCCUCCUUAGAGGAUUACCUGGUUCAUGCUACACGGGUCCCUAUCCUUGGAGCUCAGAAGCUGUGGACCUGUCCAUUCAUGUCACCCUGUUUUCUGCACCUGCAGGCAGGUUGCCGUCCAGUUCCUUCCUGUUGGAGACCCAUCCAGAUCCCUCGGUUUGCAGCUGUCUGCUCCUAGCCUGGAGUCUCUGUUGCUUGGUAUGGAAAUUCACUCGGGGCAGAUGUUUUUGGCAAACCAUUGGGCUGUGGCUGACCUGGAGGGUGGGGUUAGUGCACGUGCAUGGGGGUUCCUUUCCUCUCUGGGCCAUCUGGGCUCUCUGGUGGAGGAAGCUAUAGCUGUAUUUAUAGUGUCAAUGACUAAUGGAAGUCUGGUAAUAAAUAAUGGUGGCCAAGAAUCUUGGAAGCAUGCCAUCCUUGGAAUCCAAUUCCUCCCCAGCUGCAUCUAAGGUUAGGAGGCUUCUACUGCGUGCCAGGUAUAAAGCCCUGGUUAGAGUUGAGAGGAGGAAACAGAGGCUUAGGGAAGAGCAGGGACUUGAUCUGAACACCCUAGCUUCAUGGAUCUUGUUGGAUUUCUUCCAUAUUUUGGACAAAUUGAAGCCGCUCCCAGAGCUGGGCAGUGGGAAAGCUUGGGGGUUCAGAAGGAACUCCGGGCAGCUCUUCUAGACUGGGCUCCUGGUGCUGUGAGCACUUGCUGAUCAAGGCGACAGCAGGGCCUCCCGUUCAUAGCGACAGAAAAGUGCUCUCUGGAGCCUACUGGGAAUGUACCUUCAGAACAUGUUCUGGGGCCCACAGAAGGCUCCCAACCCUUGGGAGGCAUCUGGGGAGCAGCCCAGAGGAGGCAGAGAACUCCUUAUGAGACAGUUAAGUCAGGAAAGCUUUUUCAAGUCUCUCUCUCAUCUAUCUAUCUAUCUAUCUAUCUAUCUAUCUAUCUAUCUAUCUAUCUAUCUAUCUAUCUGUUUAUUGAUGAGUGAUUGGUUGAUUUGUGGUGCUGGGAAUGGAGUCCAAAGAUUACACAUGCUAGGCAAGCACUGUUACCCUUGAACCUCACUCCCAUCUCCAAGUCUCACUCAAAAAGUGAAACAGAGCAUGUCCGCGUGAUGUUCAUCAUGGUUACAAUGUAUAUGUUGGGUAUACAUGGGGUACACGUGUAGAUAUAUAGGUUUGUAUAUGCAUGACAGUGUGCUUCUGUAUGUUUUUGUGGGCAUAAACAUACAUGCACUAUAGGCUGGCUUCUAAGAACAUAUACACACGUUUAUGUAUAUAAGAACACAUGCGUAUGUUUGCGCCCACAUAUGUAUGUGUUAGUAAAGAACAGCCCAGACCCUGGCAUUGUGUUAGAUCUGGUUUUGUUCUCUUUCACGGGAGCAGGAGAGAGUGCAGUGACAAGCCAGGUCCAGCCUCCUGCUGUCAUCUUUCUGCCUCAACUUAAAUUCCUGCUGAGUUCUUCAUUUAUGGCCUACAACCAGUUUGUUGCUGCCUAAAGAUGACCAGCGAAGCAAUGCAGGUUCCUUGUAAAACAAACUAGCAAGCCUUCAGGCACACAAAGAAGAUAAAAAUUGCCCUUUGUCCUCCGAGCAAGAGUCCUGGCUGUUGCUUAAUAGAAUUUUCCUCUCCAAGGUACUGCAAUGACUUGAGGGUCAGAGGAGAAGGCAAUGAGGAGGCUGCCGUUCCCCGGGCCUUUGCUCUCUGACCCCAUGGUCAAGUCUUAGAAUCUCAAGGACUCUCUUUCACUUUGCUCCUGCUGUUACGGGAUUCUUCAUGAAUCGUGAGGUCCUGAGCGGACUAGUCUUGCUCAAGCUGUGGAGACAGACACACGGAGCUGGGUCUAAUCCCGAGGGUUGCUUCACUUUGCCGAGUCAGCCAUCUGGUCUCUCUGAGCAUCCGUGUCCUCGUCUCUAAAAUGGGAUAAGACAACCACCUUCAAGGGCAGUUGUCUGGGUGGGAAGGGUGUCUUUCUCUGCCUGUGUUUGUACCGUCAUCCCCACCCCCACCCUGCUCACCACUCUCCACUUUCUGUUCCACACUGCAGAGGGCUCCCUUGGCCGUGGUUGCCCAGGAGGAUUGGUCAAAUGAGUGGAAGUGGAAGGCUGAAGAGUGGAGACUGGGGAUGCCAGGGAGUCUCUUCUCAUCCUUCCAUUGCUUCCCGCGGUGUCCAAUCAGGCAGUGGUGGCAACUCUGCUGUGGCUCCAGUCCUGCUGUGGCCUCAAAUCGUUGGCUCAGGGUCAUCUACUGUUGUCCUAUUCUGCCCAGGCCUCGUGGUGGUAACAAUAGCUUCCAGCUGACAGAGUCCCAGUUCAGCUCCUGAACAAUUCAACAGCCAGUUCCCUACAUUAAGUUCCCUGUGUUGACAGGCCCUGGGCGCUUGUGGUUUUACGCGAAGGCCCUAUGCAAUAUAGAAACGACAAACAGGGCUGGGUGGGGCCAUGCGUAGGUUACUUCUCAGCACACCAUGGCCUGAAGCUAUGGCCCCUGAUGAGCUUGUGACAGUUUUACCAGUUAAAUCAAGGAUUUCAUAAGCCCUGCCUUCUUCUUCUUGACCCAAUAGACUCGUUUCCAUUUUGUGGUAACAUAGCCCCAGAGUAAGGAGGUGGUCUCUGGAGUAAGAGAGGCAGCUCUUGAAUCUCAGAUUCAUCCUUUCUAGCUGGCUGAUCUCGAGCCACAUUUGGGGUUGGCGUAGCUCAGUGGUAGAGCGUCUGCCUGGAAUGUACAGGUGUCUAUCCCAGCACCCAAACACAAAAGCAAACAAACAACUCCAGGUGUAUCUAUAGGUAGGGAAUAAGGAUGGCUGAUUAACGGAGAUGACAGAUGCUCAGUGCUUGAUGUGUAUAAGUGAUCACAUUUAUGGAAUACAAUGAAUAAUAUUAUGAUUAGAUUACCACCACAGUCCCUUCUUUCAAGAACACUGAGGUGUUUUCACUUGGAUUUAUAUUGUAGAAUAUUUGUACACUGUGAACAUGUAUUGCUGUGACUGAUAUAAUAAAAAGAUGAACACCAAUAGUUAGGCAGGAGGGAUAGGCGGGAUUUCUGGGAAGAGAGAGGAAGACGAGAAGGAAUCGAGGUGGACACACGUGGGAUCGAGGUAAAAGCCACGUGGUAAAAACAUAGAUUAAUAGAAGCAGGUUCAUUUAAGUUCUAAGAGCUAGCGGGACGAGCCUAAGCUAAGGCUGAGCUUUUAUAACUAAUAAGGAGUCUCUGUGUCAUUAUUUGGGAGUUAGCUGGCGGGACAGAAAAAGACUCGUUACAGACGAGUCACCGGACAUAAAAAUGACUUACUCCCGUUUUUCCCAAUUAUCUCUCUGUAUGGUAAGUUUUCACAGUUGCCAAGAAUCAUGGGGAAAGAAAGAAAAAAACAGCCAGAACCUUCCCUUCCAACAUUGGCUUCAGAGCAGCAGUGAUU